AGAUUGAACGCUGGCGGCAUGCCUAACACAUGCAAGUCGAACGGGAGUAGCAAUACUCUAGUGGCGGACGGGUGAGGAAUACGUAGGAAUUUGCCCUUAAGUGGGGAUAACCCGGGAAACCCGGAUUAAUACCGCAUGACCUCGAAAGAGCAAAGUGGGGGAUCGCAAGACCUCACGCUUUUGGAGAAGCCUACGUCGGAUUAGCUAGUUGGUGAGGUAAUGGCUCACCAAGGCGACGAUCCGUAACUGGUCUGAGAGGAUGAUCAGUCACACCGGAACUGAGACACGGUCCCGGACUCCACGGGAGGCAGCAGUGGGAAUAUUGGACAAGUGGCGCAAGGCCUGAUCCAGCGAAUGCCGCGUGGUGUGAAGAAGGCCUUCGGGUUAGUAAAGACGAACUUUAAAGUUAGGAAAGUAAAAAACGUACGACUAC
rnacentral:rRNA from 1 species